GAAGAAAUUAUGUUAAAUUACUGCUAAUAAUUUAGUGUUAGUUAACUCUAACUUUCUUCU
rnacentral:tRNA from 1 species